rnacentral:sRNA from 1 species
GUAGAUGCUCAUUCUGCUUUUUUAUGUCUGCCGCUGGCAACAUAAUCCCUGGAAUGAUGCAGAGCCCUUUACCGAUACCUGUUAUCUGCCAUCUCACAAAUUAUUGAUGAGAGCUUCAGAUAUUACGUUGAGUCUGGUAUCAGCUGUUGUCUGUCGACCUGAUUUUACACCUGCCUGGUUGCAGGUGUUUUUUU